rnacentral:rRNA from 1 species
AACUGGAGGAAGGUGGGGAUGACGUCAAAUCAUCAUGCCCCUUAUGACCUGGGCUACACACGUGCUACAAUGGACAGAACAAAGGGCAGCGAAACCGCGAGGUUAAGCCAAUCCCACAAAUCUGUUCUCAGUUCGGAUCGCAGUCUGCAACUCGACUGCGUGAAGCUGGAAUCGCUAGUAAUCGCGGAUCAGCAUGCCGCGGUGAAUACGUUCCCGGGCCUUGUACACACCGCCCGUCACACCACGAGAGUUUGUAACACCCGAAGUCGGUGAGGUAACCUUUUAGGAGCCAGCCGCCGAAGGUGGGACAGAUGAUUGGGGUGAAGUCGUAACAAGGUAGCCGUAUCGGAAGGUGCGGUUGGAUCACCUCCU